rnacentral:rRNA from 1 species
AACGAACGCUGGCGGCGUGCCUAACACAUGCAAGUCGCGCGCGAAAGUCUUCGGAUGAGUAGAGCGGCGCACGGGUGAGUAACACGUGGGUAAUCUGCCCUCGGGCUUGGAAUAACCCGGCGAAAGCCGGGCUAAUACCAAAUGACGCCAUCUCUUGAAACAGAGAUGGAUAAAGCGGAGGCCCUCUUCGGAGGCUUCGCACCUGAGGAUGAGCCCGCGGCCCAUCAGCUAGUUGGCGGGGCAAAGGCCCACCAAGGCUAAGACGGGUAGCUGGUCUGAGAGGAUGAUCAGCCACACUGGAACUGGGACACGGUCCAGACUCCUACAGGAGGCAGCAGUGGGGAAUCUUGCGCAAUGGGCGAAAGCCUGACGCAGCAACGCCGCGUGUGUGAUGAAGGUCUUCGGAUCGUAAAGCACUGUCGGCAGGAACGAAGGUUUACACCAAUAACAAGGGUGUAGAUUGACGGUACCUGCAAAGGAAGCACCGGCUAACUCUGUGCCAGCCGCCGCAGUAA